rnacentral:misc_RNA from 1 species
GGAGCUUCUGGGGCAGCCAGAAGAAGUGGCCAAAUUGACUGGAAAGGUUGCAAUUUGGCUGAUCCCAAUGCACUUGAGCUUUCCUUUUCAAUUUACAUUGUUAAGGUUCUUGCAGUGCCAGCUUAAAACAAUGGUAAUUGCUUGGGUUUCCGGUGGGACACUUGCUCUUCAUGUGGUUUUGUGUUGGAUUUUUCUUUAUAAAUUGGGAUUUGGAAUUGUUGGGACUGCCCUUAUUCUUGAUAUCUGUUGGUGGAUUUCUGUGUUGGGACUUGUUGCUUAUGUUGUUUUCGGUGGGUGCCCUCAUUCUUGGACUGGUUUCUCUAUCCAAGCGUUUGUUGGCCUUUGGGAUUUUCUCAAGCUCGCUAUGGCUUCUGGGGUGAUGCUACUGUUGGAGAAUAUUUAUUUCAGAGUGCUAGUUAUUGUGUCUGGGUACAUGAACAAUACUGAGGUUGCAGUCGAUGCGCUCUCUAUCUGUAUUACUAUCAUCGGGUGGGAGUCCAUGAUUCCACUAGGAUUUUUGGCUGCCACAGGGGUACGUGUUGCUAAUGAGCUUGGAGCUGGAAACGGAAACCGUGCAAAGUUUGCUACGAAAGUUGCAUUGUUGAACACUUUAGCAUUGGGAAUUUUCUUUUGGUCAAUUAUUAUGGUCUUUCCUGAUAAGCUUUCUAUGAUCUUCACCUCAAGCAUUCCUGUCAUUAAAAUGGUGGGUGGAUUUGCUUUCUUGUUGGCAACCACAAUCCUCUGUAAUUGUGUUCAACCAGUUCUUUCAGGCGUAGCAGUUGGAUCCGGUUGGCAGGCACUUGUGGCAUAUGUUAACUUAGGCAGCUACUAUUUAGUAGGAGUGCCCCUUGGUAUCUUUUUUGGAUGGUCACUAAACUUUGGGUUAACGGGCUUAUGGUAUGGAAUGAUCAUGGGGACAGUAGUUCAAACCUUGAUUUUAGCGAUUAUGACCAUCAGAUGUCAAUGGACCAUAUAAAGAGGCAUGGUGAAAGUUUGUUGUCUGCUUAUGUUGGAAGAUAUCUAUGCUAUUUGUUGUUGUAUAAUAACUUUGUUCCAGUUUGGAUUUUUCUCCCCAUUAAAUCAUCUGUAUCCGAAACUCACUUGAGCAUUCCCUCCAAUUGCUUAUGUGCUCGGCGAUGGGAGCUUGCAGAGACAGACAGUGAUGAGGUCUCAUUAGAUGGAGUGCUUCUUUUUACCCCUCUAUUUUUGAUCUUUUGGCAUUAGGAGAGCAGGGGAGAGGUGUUUAGACAAUACAAUGGCAAGCUUACCGAGGAAAUGAGUCUUAUACGAGGAUAUGGAUCGUUGUUGAUACUAAUAUUGUUUACUGUAU